rnacentral:rRNA from 1 species
CCUACGGGGGGCUGCAGUGGGGAAUAUUGCACAAUGGGCGCAAGCCUGAUGCAGCCAUGCCGCGUGUGUGAAGAAGGCCUUCGGGUUGUAAAGCACUUUCAGCGGGGAGGAAGGCGGUGAGGUUAAUAACCUCAUCGAUUGACGUUACCCGCAGAAGAAGCACCGGCUAACUCCGUGCCAGCAGCCGCGGUAAUACGGAGAGUGCAAGCGUUAAUCGGAAUUACUGGGCGUAAAGCGCACGCAGGCGGUCUGUCAAGUCGGAUGUGAAAUCCCCGGGCUCAACCUGGGAGCUGCAUUCGAAACUGGCAGGCUAGAGUCUUGUAGAGGGGGGUAGAACUCCAGGUGUAGCGGUGAAAUGCGUAGAGAUCUGGAGGAAUACCGGUGGCGAAGGCGGCCCCCUGGACAAAGACUGACGCUCAGGUGCGAAAGCGUGGGGAGCAAACAGGAUUAGAUACCCGAGUAGUC